AUUCAUGUGACGAGUCCUAAAUGGGACGAAACGCGUGUCUUAGAU
rnacentral:hammerhead_ribozyme from 1 species